rnacentral:pre_miRNA from 1 species
AAUGGGAUAACUGGGUCAAAUGGUGGUUUCAUUCCAAGUUUUCUGAGCAAUCACCAUACUUCUUUUCAGAGUGGUUAUACUAAUUUGUAGUCCCACCAGCAAU